UGUCCUAGAGUCAACAUUCGUCUGAUACCACUUCUGUCACACCAGGAUUUAGGGGGCCAAACCCUGGCGCGGUUCACAUGUGUGCUAGGAUCAAGUCUCACACAUAUGAUGACUCAUGGUACAGAAACGAAUGUCACAACUUUAAUAUAUAAUAGAGUUCUAUACAAAAUAGUUAAAUAAUUACAUCAUAUGAAGACAACGAUCUAGCAACUAAAGUUGACUUGGAGACGACGGCCUAGACCACUCACGAACUCAUCACAACAUCCUUCACACGCCUCAUCCUGUGGUACCUGUACUUGACCUAGGGAAUGUGAGUACAACAAGGGUGAGCUCACAUACGUUCAUCACGCAACAAGUUGUGGGGAAUAAUGUGCAUGAGCUCACUUACGGUGGGCCUCAUGUGAAGUGUAAGGCUUACCAAAGGAGAUGGUUAAAGCUGAGCAUUGCUUUUAGAGUUGGUCAAAAUUUUGUUAGCAGUUAAUUACUAAGUAUAAGUAGAUACCAACCCAAUUAAAUAAGAGAUCACAAUUGAUAAUAACACCCACAAUGCAAUGCAUAUGACAGAUUAAGUUUAAUUCCAUAAUUUAAUCAUGCGAGAGUCCUAAGUCGCUCUUGACCAUGAGCACGGCUGAUAUACCAGUUUUACACUCUGCAGAGGUUGCACCCUUUACCCACAAGUCGUGUAUCUCGUCUACCCAGGGUUUGCAAGGCCCUUAGACACUUCUGAGGUGAAUGGAUAGGGAUCCACUACGAGGCCUUUACAAAGCUCCACUAGCUUUGAAAACCCGCUAUGGUUUCUGAGAAGGGCAAUAUAGGAAUCCCUCGUCCAAAAGUCAUCGCAGCAUGAUCAACCCGAGAACCUCCCUAUACACAGCUCCUCUACCGCCCUUGCCUCUUUCGGGUAAGGUAGUCCUCCACUAGCUUUUCUAAUUAGUCAGCCAAGGGCGUCCCAUGCCACCCUUGUGAUAGCACAGAUAUCUCAAGUUAAGCUCCAUGUUCCAAUUAACACAAUGAUCUUGCCAUGAACAAUAAUUAAAACAACAGCAUAACUGGAACAUGAUCAAAAUAUAACAUUAAUUUCACAAAACCAGGUAGAGUAAUAGCAAAACUACCCAAUAGUUCUUUUGUCUGCAAGGUGUGGGAUAAACAAUGCUAGGGAAGCCUAUUAGGUACCAUCAAAUUAAUCUAAGCAUGUCACAGUGAUUAACAGGAACAUUAAUGGGUAAAGAGAAAAGUGAUCAAGGUCACAACUUGCCUUACACUUGAGAUCCUAGGUACCAAGUUGGUCUUCAGAUUCUCGUGACCUCACCGUUAUUCGUAGCAAUACAUACAAUCAAGCAAGUAAUGGAUAUAAUUACAUUACACCAAAGCAUAUGAACAAACAACAUAAGAGUAUCCUACGCGCUGCUACAAGAUCAUAGGCUCGAGAACCACUAAAUUCGGAGUUACUGUUAAAGAGUUAUGAUUUUCUGAGGAUUUAAGUGUUAGAUCUAAAACAAAUUAAGUACAUAAUUUUAACCAUGUUUUCAUACUAAAAUAAGGUUACUAGAUGAUAAACAAUAUUAACAUGAAUUUAUUGCAACUGGAAUGGAUUAAAAACGAGUUAAACUAAAAUACUUAUGAAUUAAACAAGGUUCUGGAAUUAUUUUUAUGCUAGAAAUAUUUUUCUUUAUUAAUUUUACUCAUUUUAUUUAAUCCUUGUACUGCGACCACUAUUUCAGAAGAGUUUAGGGUUUAUUUUGUAAAUUCAAGGACUCCUUUGUAACACUCUUGCAAAAGGGAUGGGCGGCGGGUUAGUUUGUCAGAAGGGCAGGGUCUCCAUAGGAAAAUUGUUCGGCGAAGGAGUACGAUAGAUUCUGAGUCGUUGGAUUCAUGAUCUAUGGUUACGGUUAAUAUCGCGAAUGAUAUGCUUCCUAGGCCACAGGAUCAGCGAUCAAUGACCCCGGAUUAGUCCUGCACCCUUAAGUUGAAUUCAACUCCCAACCGCACGAUCCCGAUCAGACGAUCGUGAUUUUAUUAAGUCCAGAUUUCAUCACAGUCAUCCAUCGUCGAAUCAGCGAUUCCCAUGCAAUCCCCUGGACCAGGCACCCAUCAUCUAAUUCUGGGCGCCAGAUGAAGAUCCAACGGCCAGGGUUGUUUCUUCUUCCCUGAUACCGGACCACGGUGGCGCAGGCACUAGGCGGCGGUGCCAUUGCCAUCGCACACCCCCCAGCAACAAAGAGCCCAAACCUUACCGUAAAACACAGCUACGCGAGGUGGAGACCAUGCAUAGACGGGUUGUGGGGUCUUACCUGUGAAUCGAGAGUCGCAUGGCCCAUGUCCACGACGAUCCGCUGACCGCCACGAAACUCCACAUCAGCGUGAGAUUACCGGCCUUCCAUUCGCACGGUUAGUCCACGAGAACAUUGCCUGGUCCCAAGUCGGCCCUCGCGUUCUCUAGUGGUACCCGUGGACACCCAGCACGACGAAGCCCGAGCGAUGGCGGUCAUCUUUUCACACCCGCAUCUCCCGCAGCAACGGUGACCAUAUAUACUGCUAUGGAGCCCGCGGAUCGGGGCCAGCUUCAGCAAUAUGCAACGACUUCAAGGAAUCACGGAGUUUGUUGCAGCGCGCAAACAAGGCCAGGCAGGGCUCCCCAUGAAUCACGGUGGAGUUUGUU
rnacentral:lncRNA from 1 species